rnacentral:misc_RNA from 1 species
GAUGAAGAACGCAGUGAAAUGCGAUAAGUAGUGUGAAUUGCAGAAUUCAGUGAAUCAUCGAAUCUUUGAACGCACAUUGCGCCCCUCGGUAUUCCGUGGGGCACGCCUGUUCGAGCGUCAUUUACACCCUCAAGCGCAGCUUGGUGUUGGGCGUCUGUCCCGCUCUCCGUAGCGCGGACUCGCCUCAAAGUCAUUGGCGGCGGUCGUGCCGGCUCCUCGCGCAGCACAUUUGCGCUUCUCGGAGGCCCGGCGGAUCGGCAUCCAGCAAGCUACUUUUUAUGACUUGACCUCGGAUCAGGUGAGGAUACCCGCUGAACUUAAGCAUAUCAAUAAGCGGAGGA